UACGGAGGGUCCGAGCGUUAAUCGGAAUUACUGGGCGUAAAGCGCGCGUAGGCGGUAUGUUAAGUUGGAUGUGAAAGCCCAGAGCUCAACCUUGGAACUGCAUCCAAAACUGGCAUACUAGAGUAUUGUAGAGGGGUGUGGAAUUUCAGGUGUAGCGGUGAAAUGCGUAGAGAUCUGAAGGAACAUCAGUGGCGAAGGCGACACCCUGGACAAAUACUGACGCUGAGGUGCGAAAGCGUGGGGAGCAAACGGG
rnacentral:rRNA from 1 species